rnacentral:ribozyme from 1 species
AAACAAGGAGAAGGAACCACACAAAAAAACGUCACAAUAACAAAAUGUAUAUGUUCCUCUCUUUUUUGUAUAUUUCAUUCAUUAUUCCUCUUUCUUC